rnacentral:rRNA from 1 species
UACAGAGGUCCCAAGCGUUGUUCGGAUUCACUGGGCGUAAAGGGUGCGUAGGUGGUGGGACAAGUUCGAUGUGAAAUCUCCGGGCUCAACCCGGAAACUGCAUUGAAAACUGUUCUGCUUGAGGGUCGGAGGGGAGACUGGAAUUCUCGGUGUAGCAGUGAAAUGCGUAGAUAUCGAGAGGAACACCAGUGGCGAAGGCGAGUCUCUGGACGACUCCUGACACUGAUGCACGAAAGCUAGGGGAGCAAACAGG